rnacentral:lncRNA from 1 species
CCGGGCUGGCGGCGGGCGGGGACUGCGGAGGAGGCAGCUUGCGCCGGGGCUGGGCCCUGCUUCGGGGGACUAGCGGCCCGGGAGGUAUGGAGGUGCCGCUCCGGGGGGGGCGAAAGUAAACGAGGAAAGGUCGCCCAGGAGGGAGCCUGUCCCCCAGGGUUUCCAGGGGCAACGGUGGCCCGUGUCCCUGGCCCGUGUCCCUGGAGGACAUGCGCCAGGGCAGCAGGGAGUAGUCCCCGCAGGCUCCCAGGCUGGGGCCGGCCGCCUUCUGGGGCGCUCAGACCUGUCUGCUGCAGUUUGCAAACAGUACGCUCGAAUUCUUUUCAUUGUAAAAAAUUGCUAUUAAAAAUAACUCGUAAAGCCUAUCAUCUCUUUUAAAUAAAGGGGAAGAAAGAG